rnacentral:rRNA from 1 species
CCUACGGUGGCAGCAGUGAGGAAUAUUGGUCAAUGGGCGCGAGCCUGAACCAGCCAAGUAGCGUGAAGGAUGACUGCCCUACGGGUUGUACACUUCUUUUAUAAAGGAAUAAAGUGAGGCACGUGUGCCUUUUUGUAUGUACUUUAUGAAUAAGGAUCGGCUAACUCCGUGCCAGCAGCCGCGGUAAUACGGAGGAACCGAGCGUUAUCCGGCUUUAUUGGGUUUAAAGGGAGCGUAGAUGGGUUGUUAAGUCAGUUGUCAAAGUUUGCGGCUCAACCGUAAAAUUGCAAUUUAUACGGGCAGCCGUGAGUACAGUUGAGGUAGGAGGAAGUCGUGGUGUAGCGGUGAAAGGCUUAGAUAUCACGCAGAACUCCGAGUGCGAAGGCAGCCUACUAAACUGCCACUGACAUUGAUGCUCGAAAGUGUGGGUAUCAAACAGGAUUAGAUACCCCGGUAGUC